AUUUGGUAAUUGUAAUCUCGUAUUAAUAAACAGGAUCUUGGUUCUCAUUCUAUGAAACGAAUGUAAUCAGAACAACAUUCAUUAAUGAGAAUAACAGAAUUUCUUGAUUCUCUCUCUAACAAACUUUCUUCUAACAUGGUAUCAGAGCCAAGUUAGAAGAAAUUUGUUACAGAGAGAAUCAAGCUUUGCUAGUUACUCCAAGUUUAAACAGAUGCAGAUUGGGCAUCUCGUCUUGAUUAUAGACGAUCUACAUCUGGAUUUUGUAUGUUCUUGGGGACCUCUUUUAUCUCCUAGAAAUACAAAAAGCAACAAACUGCAUCACAUUCAUCUGCAGAAUCAUAAUACAGAGUAAUGGAGUUUGUUGUUCGAGAAGUAGCUUGGCUUGUAAACUUGUUAAAGGAGUUUCAUGCGCCUCAAACGAAAUAUGUGGCUUUCUUUUGCGACUCAACGGCUGCGAUUCACAUCACCAAUAAUGAUAUUUUCUAUGAACGCACAAAGCACGUUGAGCUAGACCGCCACAUUGUUCGUGACAAAGUAAUAAGCGGUUUGAUCAAGACCUUACAUGUCAAGAUUGAUCAACAGCUUAUUCAUGUCUUCACAAAACUUUUAUUCCCUACUCAGUUUAUUAGUAAGAUGUCACUUAAAUCGAUUUACUUGUCAUCUUGAAGGAGGAUAUUAGAGUUUGGUUUAUGAUAAACCAUAAAUAAUUUGGUAAUUGUAAUCUAGUAUUGAUAAACCAGAGUAAACCGCAUCAUAGAAUUCUCAUUGUAUAAAAUGAAUGUAAACAACAUUCAUUAAUGAGAAUAACAUAUUUCUUGAUUCUCUCUCUAACAAACUUUUUUCUAACAUGAUCUUUAAACGAUAUAAAUAUUUAAAAUAUUAUCUUUUUUACUCUCAUUAAAUGUUUAGUUUGUCUUAAACUUUAUCCCUCAUUU
rnacentral:sRNA from 1 species